AAAUGAUGUCAAGCAAGAUUUCUCUUGCUUUCUUUACUCUUAUAACCUUAUCCCUAAUCCUUCCCUCUCGUGCCCAAGACAACCCACAAGAUUACCUUGAUGCUCAUAAUACAGCUCGUGCAGCUGUAGGUGUUGGUCCACUAACCUGGGACACCACAGUGCAAGCCUAUGCACAAAAUUAUGCUAACCAACGUGCCGGCGAUUGCAACCUUGUCCAUUCAGGUGGACCUUAUGGGGAGAACAUUGCAUGGAGCAGCGCGGACCUUUCAGGUACAGAUGCUGUAAAAAUGUGGGUUGAUGAGAUGGCUUACUACGACUACAACUCCAACUCAUGUGCCUCUGGCCAGCAGUGUGGGCACUAUACUCAGGUGGUUUGGGGUAACUCUGUUAGCCUAGGAUGUGCGAAAGUGACUUGUAGCGCUGGAGGAACCUUCAUUGUGUGCAACUAUGAUCCACCCGGCAACGUUGUUGGGCAAAAACCUUACUAAACCUUUCUGAUUAUGAAAUCAGUGCUUCUAUUACCUGGAAUAAUAAUGAUAAAUAAGCUGAUUUAUAUUGGCAUUAAUUAAUAAAUGAUAGAAAAAUAUUUGCUACAUCUUGAUGAUAUGCUGGCAUACAGGAAGUUCGCGUGGUAUACGUUUGGAUGGUUUUUUUUAUAUAUAUAAUUAUGUUCAUAUAAUUUUAAUUACAGUCAGAAUGAUCACAUCUUAUGUGUUAUAGCAUCCACUUUCAAUUCAAAUUAUUAUUAAGUUGAACUAAAAUUGGAUGUUUUAGAAAGUGAAAAUUAAUCAUGCAUAACGCUCAUAUGCAUACUAGCAGAUUAGUUGCUUUUAUAUAUAUAUAUAUAUAUAUAUAUAUAUAUAUAUAUAUAUAUAUAUAUGAUAACAGUUUUUAUUUUAAAAUAAUACAUACACAAUUAAUCAUACUUAACUUAUAUCGAAGAAUAAGAUAAUGAAAUACUAGCUAGAAUUGAGCACCUGAUUUUGCUAAUUUGAUAUAUUCUAUAGUGAUAAAUAAUUGGUGUUAUAAUAGAAUUCGAUUGAGGUUAAAAGCUUUGUCUACGAAGAUAUUCAAAUUAAUAUUGAUAUAUUAAAAAGAAUUAAUACCUGAUUUUAUUAUUUGGAUAUGUUUUUAUUAUGAAAGAAUAUUCCUAGAGCUUAUCACAAAGAUCGAUUGGGCCAGAGUAUAAUUACAACUCCAAUUCAUGUGUUGGGAAAUAAAAAAUAAUUCAUUAAUUAGCGAUUGUUUGUCUCUCGUUGUCUUGGCUGUAAUAAUCCCUUUAGCUAGCUCAAGCUCAAAACUACUCUAAACAAGACUUCCUCAAUGCUCACAACAACGCUCGAGCACAGCUGGGUGUUGGACCUUUGGGAUGGAAUUAAAAUUAGCAAAAUUUGAAAAACCAUGAAAGUAAAAAAAAAUAAUAAUCUUGAAACAUAAAAUAUUAAAUCAUACCAGUCGCUAACAAAUUACUAAUCAGCUGAUCAUAGCACUAGUGUUAUUUAAUGAUACAAUUCAAUACAUGCAAAUCAAUAUUAAUACCUUAAAAAUAAUUAGAAAAAUAAUAUUAAUGGAUAUAUGAUAUUUUUUUCUCUAAUUUAUUAGGAUAUGAUUUUUUGAGGUAUUACAAUAAAUUUAAAGAGAAUUCAAAAAUACAUGUAAAAAAUUAUGGGUUGAGUCGAAUACGUACUUGGACGGAUAAAGAGACCAUUCAUCCUAUUUGACCCGACUUGACCGGGUGUGGAUCCAAUGUAAAUGAUGGUUAUAGGAAUACCGAGUUGGAUGCAGGUGCAAAACAACUCGACUCUCAACUCGACUCGGUCCAUUACCAUCCUAUUGGUUCUCUGCUUUUCCUGUCAUCAUCCAUUGGGUUAGUAGGUGCAAUCCAAGAUGCUACCUCAGUAAGAAUAGACUUAACUAUUCUUACACAUAUAAAUAUAUUUUAAAUAUAUUAUUAUAUGGAUUUAUCCAUCAUCUAAGAUUACAGAUCAGACUUAAUUUUUUACAUAUCAUUUUAUAGAAGCAUUAUUAAAAAUUUAUUUACAAUGAUGAAUUAAUAACUAUAUGUUAACAAAAUUCGCAUUCUAAAUUCAAAAAUACAAUUAGUUUGGUUCAUAAUCUUUUAUAUAUAUUAUUCUCAAUUAAGCUCGUUGGUAUUUUGAUCCUUUCUCUCUCCACACACACGUAUAGAGUAAUUUUCUCUCCCUCCCUGAUUUCCCUUUCUUUUCUUUCUUUUCUUUCUUCUUCUUCUUUUCCUUUGGAUACGAUGAGGUUUUUAUUUAAGCGGUCUACAAAAAUGGAGUUUUUAUAUUUAAUUUUUUCAGAUAUCGAUGCCAUAUAAUUAAUUUGUUAGUUAAGGUAAUUCACAUCUUAUGCCAUCUCUUGCGGUAACCAUUCAUUUAGAACAAAAUAUAUUAAGGAGAGCUGUUUUUUAAAGUAUAUUUUAUUUAUAAAUAUAUUAAAAUAAUAUUUUUUUAUAGUUUUUUAAUAAUUAUUUUUUAUAUCAGCAUAUCAAAAUAAUUAAAAACUAUAAAAAAAUUAAUUUUAAAUAAAAAAAUGAUUUCAAUUAAAAAAAAAACUCAAUUUGAAAUGCAAUUCUAAACAACAUAAGGGCCAUUUUUAGAAAAAUAAGUUGGCAUGGUGUAUUCAAAAUGAAGAUCAGAUAUCUUUCUUAAUAGACACUUUUAAUGAUGAUUUUAUAUAUUAAUAAUUUAAUCCAAAUCUACUUCCCAAAUUGGUGUCUCGAAAAUUGUUGCAUCGUAUGGGGUGGAUUCCCCUCGCACAGAGAACUCGCUCAUCCAAUGCUAAUAAUAAUAAUAAUAAUAAUAAUAAAACUCUUGGGAAAUUGACUGGCAAAUAUGGAUCUCCGCUUUUGGAAAAACUAAAAACUAGUUGUGUUACGUAAAUAAGAAUAAAUAAAAGACUAAUGCACUCAGUGUAUUAAAUAAAUCAAUAGCAAGCCUUUAAAUAGGCUGUACAGUAGCAAGGAAAUAGGAACAGAAUAAUAAUAAAAUCUCCACUAUCUAAAACGUGGAUGGAACUCCUAUAGAAUAGGUCUUUCAUUACUUAUUCCAGAUAAACUCAAAAGCAUAAUCAACAUAACUUAUUUUAACACCUUUCCUUAAACUAAUAUCUGUAGAUAGGAAUUAACAGCUGCUACUCCUUCUCUAAUGACAUCUUUUGAAGAGCACAGUCCAAGGAGAUUUCGAAGCUUGACAAAAAUUGCAGGCUUAAGAGGCUUAGUUAAUAUAUCUACAAUCUGAUCUUCACUCUUGCAGAACACCAGAUUAAUAACACCUUCCUUACAUAGAUCACGUAGGAAGUGAAACCUGACAUCAAUGUGUUUGUUUCUCCCAUGAAAUACUGGAUUCUUUGAAAGCUUUAUGGUGGACAUGUUAUCACAAUAGAUUAAGGUUGGACCUUGGUGCUGGUUGUUUUGUAAGAACUCAAGUAAUCUGCGUAACCAGAUUGCUUGACUUGAAGUUGAUGCUGCAACAACAAAUUCAGCUUCAGUGGUUGAUAAAGCUACUAUCUGUUGUUUUUUCGAAGACCAUGAAACAACUCCAGAAUUCAACAUGAACACCAAUCCGGAAGUACUUUUUAUCAUCCAUGCAUCUGAAUUUUGUAUCUUUAUACUCUUAUAACUAAUAUUUAUUAGUGAGACGUAAUCUUUUAUAUGCUUUUUAAGAAUUUUUCAUUCUUAUAUGUGUUCUUGUAUAUAAAUAUUUUUUUCUCGUGUGUGUGUGUGUAUAUAUAUAUAUAUAUAGCACUAAAAUAUCUUUCAAACUAUAUAUAUAUUUUUUUCUAACACUUAAAAAACAUCAAUGAUAAAAAAACUUAACAAAAUUUAAAAAAUCAAUAAAAUAGAGAAAAAAAAACUAGAAACCUAUUGUAACAUCUCAAGAAACUAAAAUAAAUCAUGAAAAUAUAUAUACAAAACACGUAGGGAACUAAGAUAAGAUUCAUUGUCAAAUUUAAUAAUUUUAUGUAUGAAAAGUUUUGUUGGUGUUUAUACUUACAGUUUUAUAUUGAAGAAUUCUAUCAAUGUUUCAAUUUAUAUUUAUCAAUUUUGUAGCCGUGGUUGUUUGUAGAAUACAAGACGAACAAGAUAUGUACUAAUUGAAAUACAAAGUACUAACCUAUCAAUAAGAAAUUUUGUAAGCUAGUUGCAUUUUAUUAAUUACUUCCAGAUUUAUUUUGAAAAAAAAAACAACAUAAGAAAACGAGAAAAUAAAAUUUAUUAUUAAAAUUUUUUUUGAUAAAAACAUCUAGAUUUCUUUCUCCGCUUAUACUUUUUUAUAAUUUUAAAAUGAAUCCUAAAAAGUAACUACUCUAAUUACUAAAAAAAAAUUUGAAGGAUUUUAGAAAGAUUAUUUGAUCAGUUUUUGCUCGAUUCUAGCAUGUUCCGCAAUUGACGAUGAGCCAAGGGAGGUAUAGUGUUUUUUUUACAGACUAUCCGGGUGCAUAACUUUACACGAAAAAGAAACAGAAUAGUCAAGAGUCUAAGACUAUGUUUGGUAACGAGGAUGCAACCUGUUUGGUAAAGAAAAAUAAAUAAUUUACAGUGUAUGGACCCUACAUGUUUUUACGUCUGAGACGCAGGAAAAAAAAAAGCAGCAAAAUGCUGCUUUUUACUCACUGCUCAUACUAAUUGCACUGUUCACUAAACAGUGCAAUUAUCAUGAACAAUGUACAUUGAUACACUGUUCACGUGAACAGUGCAAGAUAAUUGCAUUGUUCACUUAAAAAACAAUGAACAGUGCAAUUCACUUGCACUGUUCACGUGAACAGUUUUUUUCAGUGUGUUAAUUUUUUUAACAGUUUUUUUUUUAAAAAUAAAACUAGUUUAGAGUGAAUUAAAUUCACUCACACUGUGAUGUGAACAAUAUUUUUUUUCCCGAAAAACUAGUAUAUAGUGAAUUAAAUUCACUCGCACUGUAAUAUCAAUUUUAUAUCUGAUAAUGUUUUAUCUAAUUUUAUUACACUCUCAAAAAAUUAUGAAAACUGUAGUUCUUAUCGGAUGAAUUUUGUACGUAAUGGAAUUAUAAAUAGUUUAAUGAAAUAAUAAAAAAUAUUUUACAUAAAAUAUUAUUUAUUUCAUGAUGUAAUAGGAGUAAUUAAUUCUACAAUAUUUAAAUAUAAAACCAUCAAUAUUAAUAUAUAUAUUUUUAAAUUAUUUUAUAACCUCAAUUUCAAAAGCAUUCUUAAUCAAACACAUUAAACUACUUUUUCUUCAACCUCAGUUUCAACCACAGUUUUAACUAAACACCUAUUUUUUCAAACCAACCUCAACUAAAAAUACUUUUUAUAAAACAACUUUUUUCAAACCACAACCACAACAGCUACCGCAAUACCAAACACAUAAGUCGUCCAUUUCAAAAAAAUAAUCCAGUACUGUCUGCUUCUGACUAAAGGAUCUUUUUGAAGUUAUCUAGAUAUAGAAUCAAUUUAAAAAUAUUUUUUUUCCACACUAAUUCUGGUAUUGCAACUUGGCAUUAUUUUAAGUUGGAAAUUCUAUCAAUCACUCAACAAUUUGAAAAGAAAAAAAAAGUGUAUAGAAAGCACGGGUUUGUUAUUAUAUAUAUAUAUAUAUAUAUAUAUAUAUAAAAAGCAUUUUAACUAUUUGUUUUUUUAAUUGCUGUUAUUAUUAUUUUCACCUUACAUAUAAAAUUUUAAAAUUUUAAUUGAUCAACAAGUUGUAAAUUUAGAUAGUUUAAUUGGUGAAAUUCUGAAUUUGUUUUUCAGAGAUCAUUAAUUUGAGUGUCACAAAUCUCAUAACCACUAGAAGUUUAUAUUGUCGUUAACUUCAAGGUCUUUAAGGAUUAGUCGAGGUAUACGUAAAUUGAUCCAGACUUUUAUUAUUAAAAAAAAAAAAAAAAACUAGCUGAUGUUCAAAACAGCCCAGGUGUUCCUAUCAUGUUAAUCCAUGUUACACGGCACUUCUUUGUUUUGAGAUGCUGCCACCACAUGCUUGACCUCAAAAAAAACAAAAACCUUCACUUUUUUUUUUCUGUCUUUUGGGGUCUUGACUCAUGGUCAAGAGAUAAAACACGUUCGGAUAUUCUCGAAUAUGCUAACUUUUGAUGGGCGUGUUACACGCUCUUCUUCUCUUAAUUUUAUGAGAGGUAAUAUAUAUUUUCGAAUAAAUUCGGCAAAUAAAGAUUGAAUUAUUUUUGUCAUUCUGCUAAGGUCAGUUAUUGCUAAAACUUUAAGAUUCAUGAGAGCUUUAAUAUCCCAAAAAGGAGAUAUAUCCCUAAAAAUCAGGCUAAUAUUCCCUCGUAUUCAUGUUAAUAAUCCAUUUUGUAUAUCAUGGUUAAUUUGUAGGUUUAAAAGAAGAUUUUUUAAAAAGAAAUUCUUUGAAUGAUUACAUGUCACUAGGAAAUCAAUUAGUUGUUCGGUAAUUUUCUUUGAAUGAUUCCACCAAUAGCAUGUCCUUCCUAAAAUAUAAGGCAACAGACAAAAAUCUAAGAGCUUAUUAGGCUUUUCAUCUAAUUAAAAAAAUUGAAAAUAUUAAUUUGAUGAUAAAGGAGAUUUUUUUUUUAAAAUAGAAUUCAAAUCUUAUAAUCAAUAUUUACAAAGAUUUAUUAAAUUUAUUUGCAUACAUCAUACCGAUAAUAUUUUUAAUUAAAAUUAUCUUGAAAAAAACGUAACUUUUAUAUUCUUCUUUUUAUUAAAUAAAAAAAAAUUAUUAAGAUAAUGACACAUAACAUGGUAGACCAGUGUGAAAAUUAUGAAUGAAAUUAUUGGAUUGGUGGAGUGUUAGUGGUUCUCUUCCUUGCCAUGUGAAUGAUCUAUUACAUCAGUGACCCAACCUAGUGUUUGAAAAAUUCCAGUGUAAGACUUGGCCUAUACUUUCUUGUUUUGUUGUGUUAGCUAAAAUAUAUGGCUCACAAAGAAUAAGAUUAUCUUCAAUAUUGGAACUGCGACUUUUGAAGACAGUUUCUCCUUGAUUUUAUAUCGUCUCUCAAAUUGGCUCAAAUCUGCAGAUAAGUUUUUUAUAGCUACUAGAACUGAUUUAUUUAUGGGGCCUAAAUGUAUUAUAGAUUGGUCUAACAACACCAAAUAAAGAUUUUAAACAUGGCGCAUCAACUCUUUUAGUCCUUAUGCUUGUUUUCUAAUCUUUAUCUGUCAACUUUUUAUUUUUCAUUAUCUGCCUUUUUUUUUUUAUCUGUCAACUUUCUAAUCCUUGAUUAUUCCUUAUGCUACAUUCUACUUAGUCCUUUUAAGAUAUCGAAUUCUUUCGGAAAAAAAAAAAACAGAGAAAGAGAGCAGAUAAUUACAUAAAACUUACUACCUCGCGAUGAAAUCCUAAGAUGAAAUCCAGCAAGAAAAUGUCUUAGUAAUUGAACACAUUGAUCAGGCACGACCAUAUGUAGUCAGCAUCGAUUUAUUCAAGAAAAUCGACUUAGAAUUUGGCAUCUAUGGUAAUAUUCAAAUAGAAAUUUAUUUUUUCUAAUUAAACUUUUUUAGGUUAAAUAAUCAAUUCAACUUAAAAACUUAAAAUAUUAAAUAAAAUUUUAAAAUAUAUUUUAUAUUAUUCUUUAAUAUACUCUUUCAAAUAAAAAAAAUUUUAAGUUUGAAAUUUGUAUAACCUCAUAUUAUUUUGUACUUAAUUUUUAUAAAAAAAAUAAAAUAAUAAGAUUCGAACUCAUAAUUAAUUGGUUAUCAAAGUUUUAAUGUCAUGUUAAAAACUAAUUCAACCAAAAAAUAGAUCCUAUGUAUAAUUUAUAAUACUCUACAUAAAUUAAACCAUUUGAUCGAAUCACUUGCUGCCAAAACAUCCAUACAUUUUCAUCCAAUUAAUGUGAAGCCGACAUUUCUUCAACUUUUCCAAGGGACUUGCUUUGGAGUCCGUCAUUUAACGCUAUUGUUUUGAACAUUACACAGCUGCUAAAUGGAUAGUUCAUAAUAAAAAAAAUAGUAUUUUGAUUUUUUUUUGUUUGUUUUUUAUAUUUCAAAGUAAAAGCCAAACAAAAUACUAAAAUAUCUUUUCUUUUCCAAAAAUAUUAUUCUUACAUAUCUUUUAAAAAAACUAAAAUUAACAAAGUAGGGCCAACAAAAGAAUAAGCCAAUUAAAUAUAGCCACGUGGAAAAAAAAUAACAUCAAAAUUAUUAAAAAAAAUAAAACACUUAUUUAUUCUAAAUUGGCUUUUCAAAUAGCUUUUUUCCAUUGAAGUACUAUACAUGAUAAAAUAAAAACUAUAUUUAUACUAUUUAAAAUACUAUUACAUCAAUUUACCUUUUUAAAAUAGCUUCUCCCAUCAGAAAUAGUGUAACGCCUAUAAAUACCGUUUGAGCUCUCAUUGUUAUUUCAUCCAUCACCUACGAAAUUCUUUUGCGUGAUAAAAAAAGAGAGAGUGUGCAAAAUGAUGUCAAGCAAGAUUUCUCUUGCUUUCUUUACUCUUAUAACCUUAUCCCUAAUCCUUCCCUCUCGUGCCCAAGACAACCCACAAGAUUACCUUGAUGCUCAUAAUGCAGCUCGUGCAGCUGUAGGUGUUGGUCCACUAACCUGGGACACCACAGUGCAAGCCUAUGCACAAAAUUAUGCUAACCAACGUGCCGGCGAUUGCAACCUUGUCCAUUCAGGUGGACCUUAUGGGGAGAACAUUGCAUGGAGCAGCGCGGACCUUUCAGGUACAGAUGCUGUAAAAAUGUGGGUUGAUGAGAAGGCUUACUACGACUACAACUCCAACUCAUGUGCCGCUGGCCAGCAGUGUGGGCACUAUACUCAGGUGGUUUGGCGUAAUUCUGCUCGCCUAGGAUGUGCUAAAGUGAAGUGUAGCACCGGAGGAAC
rnacentral:lncRNA from 1 species